GAUGAACGCUGGCGGCGUGCCUAAUACAUGCAAGUCGAGCGAACAGACCCGGCGCUUGCUCCUCUGACGUUAGCGGCGGACGGGUGAGUAACACGUGUAUAACCUACCUAUAAGACUGGGAUCACUUCGGGAAACCGGAGCUAAUCCCGGAUAAUCUAUUGAACCGUAUGGUUCAAUGGUGAAAGACGGUUUUGCUGUCUCUUAUAGCUGGAUCUCCGCCGCUUGAGCUAGUUGGUAAGGUAACGGGUUACCAAGGCAACGAUGCGUAGCCGACCUGAGAGGGUGAUAGCCCACACGAGAACGUGGACACGGUCCAGACGCCUACGGGAGGCAGCAGUAGGGAAUCUUCCGCAGUAGGCGAAAGUAUGGCGGAGCAGCGCCGAGUGAGUGAUGAAGGUCUUGGGAGCGGAAAACUCUGUUAUUAGUGAAGAACAAAUGUGUAAGUAACUAUGCACGGCUUGACGGUACCGGAUCAGAAAGCCACGGCUAACUACGUG
rnacentral:rRNA from 1 species